rnacentral:tmRNA from 1 species
ACCUUUGCAAUUGCUGCGCAGAACCCUUAUAUUGGAGAUGCUGGAAACAGCUAUGGCGAUAAAUGGUUAUCGGAAUAAACCCAUCGGACCCGGGGGCAGUACCCGGCGCCUCCACCAAUCUCCCGACAGUCGGGAUCUGCGGGGGCGAAAUAGGAUCGACGAGGGCGUAAAGGGUAUUCUUUCGCUCGGCAUUGUACCGCCGUUAUCGGGCUAUUCAAAUAGUUGCAAAUGACAACUACGCUGAGGAACUCGCGGUUGCGUAAUGCGCCUCGACAACUCAAAUUGAAGUCCUGACGCCCUAGCAGGCCUCAGGCGGGGUUCGCAGGCACCUGGCAACAGAAGCCUGCACU